GAAAGGACGUUGACGGAAACCUGCUCGUCGGGUGUGAGCACAUGAGUGAACAUCAAUCGUUUCUCUUUCCA
rnacentral:sRNA from 1 species